UACGAAGGACCCGAGCGUUAUCCGGAUUUACUGGGUUUAAAGGGUGCGUAGGUGGACCCAUAAGUCAGUGGUGAAAGCCUCCCGCUUAACGGGAGAACUGCCAUUGAUACUGUGGGUCUUGAGUAUAGUUGAGGUAGGCGGAAUAUGUCAUGUAGUGGUGAAAUACUUAGAUAUGACAUAGAACACCGAUUGCGAAGGCAGCUUGCUAAGCUAUAACUGACACUGAUGCACGAAAGCGUGGGGAGCAAACAGG
rnacentral:rRNA from 1 species